GCUAGCUACAGGCUUAACACAUGCAAGUCGCCGUGCAGCAUUUUAGUUUGCUUGCAAACUGAAGAUGGCGACCGGCGCACGGGUGAGUAACACGUAUCCAACCUGCCGAUAACUCCGGAAUAGCCUUUCGAAAGAAAGAUUAAUACCGGAUAGCAUACGAAUAUCGCAUGAUAUUUUUAUUAAAGAAUUUCGGUUAUCGAUGGGGAUGCGUUCCAUUAGUUUGUUGGCGGGGUAACGGCCCACCAAGACUACGAUGGAUAGGGGUUCUGAGAGGAAGGUCCCCCACAUUGGAACUGAGACACGGUCCAAACUCCUACGGGAGGCAGCAGUGAGGAAUAUUGGUCAAUGGGCGAGAGCCUGAACCAGCCAAGUAGCGUGAAGGAUGAAGGCUCUAUGGGUCGUAAACUUCUUUUAUAUGGGAAUAAAGUUUUCCACGUGUGGAAUUUUGUAUGUACCAUAUGAAUAAGGAUCGGCUAACUCCGUGCCAGCAGCCGCGGUAAUACGGAGGAUCCGAGCGUUAUCCGGAUUUAUUGGGUUUAAAGGGAGCGUAGGUGGAUUGUUAAGUCAGUUGUGAAAGUUUGCGGCUCAACCGUAAAAUUGCAGUUGAAACUGGCAGUCUUGAGUACAGUAGAGGUGGGCGGAAUUCGUGGUGUAGCGGUGAAAUGCUUAGAUAUCACGAAGAACUCCGAUUGCGAAGGCAGCUCACUAGACUGUCACUGACACUGAUGCUCGAAAGUGUGGGUAUCAAACAGGAUUAGAUACCCUGGUAGUCCACACAGUAAACGAUGAAUACUCGCUGUUUGCGAUAUACAGUAAGCGGCCAAGCGAAAGCAUUAAGUAUUCCACCUGGGGAGUACGCCGGCAACGGUGAAACUCAAAGGAAUUGACGGGGGCCCGCACAAGCGGAGGAACAUGUGGUUUAAUUCGAUGAUACGCGAGGAACCUUACCCGGGCUUAAAUUGCAACAGAAUAUAUUGGAAACAGUAUAGCCGUAAGGCUGUUGUGAAGGUGCUGCAUGGUUGUCGUCAGCUCGUGCCGUGAGGUGUCGGCUUAAGUGCCAUAACGAGCGCAACCCUUAUCUUUAGUUACUAACAGGUCAUGCUGAGGACUCUAGAGAGACUGCCGUCGUAAGAUGUGAGGAAGGUGGGGAUGACGUCAAAUCAGCACGGCCCUUACGUCCGGGGCUACACACGUGUUACAAUGGGGGGUACAGAAGGCGGCUACCUGGUGACAGGAUGCUAAUCCCAAAAACCUCUCUCAGUUCGGAUCGAAGUCUGCAACCCGACUUCGUGAAGCUGGAUUCGCUAGUAAUCGCGCAUCAGCCAUGGCGCGGUGAAUACGUUCCCGGGCCUUGUACACACCGCCCGUCAAGCCAUGAAAGCCGGGGGUACCUGAAGUACGUAACCGCAAGGAGCGUCCUAGGGUAAAACUGGU
rnacentral:rRNA from 1 species